CCUACGGGAGGCAGCAGUAGGGAAUUUUCGUCAAUGGGCGCAAGCCUGAACGAGCGAUGCCGCGUGAGUGAAGAAGGCCUUCGGGUCGUAAAGCUCUGUUGCGGGGGAAAAAAGGCAGCAUCAGGAAAUGGGUGCUGACUGAUGGUGCCCCGCCAGAAAGUCACGGCUAACUACGUGCCAGCAGCCGCGGUAAUACGUAGGUGGCGAGCGUUAUCCGGAUUUAUUGGGUUUAAAGGGUGCGUAGGCGGAUUUUUAAGUCAGCGGUAAAAUGUCCGGGCUCAACCCGGGCCGGCCGUUGAAACUGGGGAUCUUGAGUGGGCGAGAAGUAUGCGGAAUGCGUGGUGUAGCGGUGAAAUGCAUAGAUAUCACGCAGAACUCCGAUUGCGAAGGCAGCAUACCGGCGCCCGACUGACGCUGAGGCACGAAAGCGUGGGGAUCGAACAGGAUUAGAUACCCGUGUAGUC
rnacentral:rRNA from 1 species